AAUUAGGGAAAAAAAAAAGAAAAAGGAAAAUUAAAACUUCCUCUCUUCGCGUGAAGCCCCCCUCCCCUGAAAGAAAACCCUCGCCGUCGUCGCUCACAUUCAAGCCGGAGUCGUCGCGCCUCUCGCCAUCUUCGUCCGUUUGAAAUCGGGUAACCCAGCCUCGCGCCGUCACCUAGGAGCUCGCCAGCCGCACGCCGUCAGUCGAGCUUCUUCAAGACGUGUGUUGGUCAUCGACCUCGUCGAGCGUUGCUGUCGCGCGCCGUCGGAGUCCUCAGCUUUUCCGCGCGUUUUUUUGCUCGAAUCUGAGGGCCUUGACUCUGCACGCCAUCGUCAGUCGUCUCUCUUUUCUGUUUUGUUUGUUUGCACCGAUCUGGGUUUUUUGAGCCGCCCAUUUUGGUCCGUAUUUUUCAACCAGCCGUCGUUUCUUGGAUUUUAUGUGAGGUUAUUUUGGUUAUUGGAUUAAUUGUUAGGAUGUCUCUAAUGCCCAUUACUUCUUGGUUUCAAACUAACAUUAACCUUGACGUUCCGGCUUCUAGGUCGAGGAUUUUGAGUACUUAAGCAAGCUAUCUAGCACCUUAAUCGUGAAUUUGGGUAAGUUUUAUGGGGAUUAUGGAAUAGGUUGUGAACACUUUGGAGUUGUGCCUAAAAGUCUUAAAAUUGAAGUUUUAGGGUCAAAAUUGAAGGUCGUGUUUCUGUGUUAGGAACGUUAAUUCAAGUUGUCGUUGGUGAUUGAUUUCUUGAAUCACUCUUGGACUUGUGACUUGAGCCGCUAGCCCAAACAAUUUAUGCCGUCAGCAACACCCACUACCUAUCUAUAGUAGCCACGAGCCGACGUGCCAUCAGCCACCACUGCUCGAUCUUUGUCUGAAUCUUGACAAAAACCUUGGGUAAGACUUAUUUUCGCCACCACUGCUCGAUCUUUGUCGGCUAAUUGAAUCUAGUUUUGGAUUUAAUUCUUGAUCAGAUGGCUAAUUGAAUCUAGUUUUGGAAUUUUUCUUGGAUCAUGACACAACUUUAGAUGGAUUCAAGUUUUUCAAAGGUUUUAAGGAAUUAUUUGCGUGGACUUUUGUGACCAAUUUAAGGUAAGUGGUACUAUUACCGAUGCCUUCGUGCCAGGCAGCCUAGAUUAGAUUUAUAAAGUUAAUUAAUGGACUCUAGAAGCAUGAUUUUGUCGUUGUGAUAUACUUGUUGCAUGACAGUUAUGAGCAUUAUGAGCAUGUUUAAAUUUCUAAUCAGUACUGAAAUUAUGUAUGUGAUGCAUGAAUAGAACAGAAUAGGGUUGUUUACCAUCUCGCCUUGACGCAUGUUUUAUUUCAGAGGACCGGCGGGUCUAGUUUCAUGUUUGACGGUCUGCCUACGGGCCGCUAGACAUGCGUAAGGAUAGGAGCGGACCGACGGAUGACGAGAGGGGCCUGUGAUCGUGCCAUAUGGGACAUGGGACCGACGGAUCUAGUUUCAUGGCUUGACAAUGUGCCUUCAGGUCACUAGACAUACGUUAGCCGAUGGGUUCAUUUGGAUGUUACAAUUUUGUUAACCAACUGAUCCACUUUCAUGUUUAUUUCUAUGUGGCACAUCGGGCCAUUAGACAUAUAAUAGCAAGGAUACUUGGGCGACUGACAAGAGGACUCCAGGACAGUGCCAAAGGAACUAGGAAUGCUUCCGCAUUUGAACUUAUAUGUCUUCUCAUAUAUAUAUAUAUUUUUUUUUAAUAGUUUUCUUUUCACAAACCUUCCUAGACUGGGUGUAAGGGUUAGAGAUUUCUUUUAAGUUAACAUUUUCCUCCAUUUUUUAUUUAAAUUUUUUUUCCACGUUUAAGGGGUACCUCAGUUCAAACGAUUUGAAAUCUUGA